AUAAAAGUCUAAAACAUUUCCUGUCUUUUUCAUUAUUUCAGAGAAGGACAUUUUUGCAAGAAAGGAGGAAUUUGAAACGAGGAUUUCUGAAGGCCAUACAGGUACUAUAGCGAUAGCUGCCCUGCUGGGUCUAGCGAUCUUUGUUCUUCUAUGCGUCCUGCUGUACUGUCUCUGUAGAGGAAAGAAGAAGACGGUACAACACCACCGGGUGCCCGUCAACACCGUCCCGGUCAGCUUGGAGGACAGAGAGCGUCUCGUCUACAACAGCACCACCAAGCCCAUCUGACCCCUCAGUCCUGACAUUUGACACCCCCCCCUGGUGGUGAAUGACACAGGUUAACAAAACCAGAUUGAUGAAAGACUAGACAAUAACCGUUGAUUUAGUAAGAAUUCUGGAGGUGAUCCGUUUAUAUUUUGUCCAUAUAUGGAUUUGGUUUGUAAGGGUGAUACACAUGGAAGGAAGGAACGUCUUAAAGAAUAAAAUGUGAUGUGUUAUAUUUUAAUUUGUAGCUUGUUUUUAAUGGAGUGGCAUGUUUAAAGGAAUUGUUGUAUGUCAGUUUGUACUCAGGUUAACAUAAAAGGAUAUUUUCUUCUGUUCUAUUUGAUUCCAUUAACAAUCUCAUAAAUCUUAGCGAACAGCUUUUAAAAAUAAAGUCAGUUAAGAAAAGGAGGAAACAUCACCUGGUCUAUUUUUGAGCCACCGCUUCAAUGUAAGAGUUUCAGAUUUUUUUCUUAAAAAUUAGCUCUGGACUUUGUUAUGAUAAAUGAAAUGUAAUUGGUGAUCCCUUCAGUGUCCUGCACCUCCAGCUUCCCAUUGUUACAUCGUAUUACAUAUACUUGCGUAAUGUUGUACAUAAACAAAUCAUUUUGAGAAUCACAUUUGACAUGAAAAAAUGUAUUUCUCACUUAUGUUUUAGGAAUUUUUAGAACAAGCAUAAUGUAUACAUUUUAAAAUGCUUUAUUAAUACUUGCAAUAAAGUAGCCUUGCUGUUGAAUAUUCACCAUAUUGAACUUCAAUUGUUUGUACAUAUGAUCUUUCUGUAUCUUUAGCAGUAACAUGAUGUUUAUACUAAAUAAAUGUUUUAACUCAAAA